GGUUGACGCAAAACGGAUUCGAGGUCCUUUGUCGACAUGGUUUCAAGCAUAUUUCUAUAUAGAUCUCUUUCUUUAUUUUGGCUUAGAAUUAUUAUUGAAUUUCUUUUCAGAAUCACACACCUUAUGUAGUUACUAUUUAAAACAUAGGAAACCCUAGUCGAAUAGAAUUCUUCUUAUUAUAUACCUUUUUCAUUACUAUUACAUCUGUAAAAAUACAUAGUAAAAGGAAGGUUCUCAAUCUGCCUGAUCCUGAAAGGAUGCAUAGUAAGAG
rnacentral:misc_RNA from 1 species